GCCGGAGUGGCGGAACAGGCAGACGCACGGGACUUAAAAUCCCGCGCUCCUCAAGAGCGUACCGGUUCGACCCCGGUCUCCGGCACCA
rnacentral:tRNA from 1 species